rnacentral:sRNA from 1 species
UUCGUCUGUCGUUUAUGAGGAUGAGUACCUCCGCAGGAGGUUCGAGCCUCGCGAAGCGAGACAACGUUGCUUCAGCAACGGCCCGCAGGGCGCGCAUCCAAGA